GGAUCGCCGGUGGUUUCGGCCGCUGGAGGAAAGUCCGAGCUCCACAGGGCAAGGUGCCGGGUAACGCCCGGGCGUCGUAAGGCGACGGAAAGUGCAGCAGAGAGUAGACCGCCGAUGGCCGCUCAGCGGCACAGGCAAGGGUGAAAGGGUGCGGUAAGAGCGCACCGGGCUCCUGGUAACAGUGAGUCGCUGGCAAACCCCACCUGAAGCAAGGCCAAAUAGGGAACGAGGAGUUGCCCGCUCCGCUUGAGUUCCGGGUAGGCCGCACGAGGCUGCCGGUAACGGCAGUCCCAGAUGAAUGAUCCUCCCCCGCAAGGGGACAGAACUCGGCUUAUUCC
rnacentral:RNase_P_RNA from 1 species